AAUUUGUUAAUCCUUGAGAAAAGAAGACACGAGAAGCAACGAAACCAUCAACAGAAACAGAGUCUGGAAACCCUGCCUAAUAAGUUACAAUUUUAUUACAAGCUUAAUCUCACGCCUAAAUUUGAAGAGGUCGGUCAUCAAAUAAUAAGUUUUCUAAUUUCGCCAAGCUUUGUUAUCCAUUACUCCAAACUGAACACGGGAUUGGGAAUCCAAUACGACAGUAGCUUCAUGAAGCCUGGGAAGGUUACACAAGCCGCUGCUCCCGAGCUCCUCUGCAGUUGUGAGGGGCAGCAGAGUAGCACCAAUUGCCCCCAAGAAUUACCCAAAAUUUGCCGCUUCUCCCUGCUCUUUCUUUUCUCUCUGAGGCGUUCCCAAAAUUGGGUUCGUGCCGCUGUUGAGCCAGAAGAAGAGAUUGGAUUGGAAGUUGAGUUCCAAAGGAAAAUGGCCUGGAGUCGAAAAGACGUGAUGCAGACGCUAAGAACUAGAGGGUUUCUGCGGCAGAAGUUUUAUCUGAAGAUGUUGUUGAAGCUCUCAGAGUUUCCCCUUAUUUGAGCUUUUUGGAAGCAUUUGAUUGAUUUAUGGGAUUACAGGAAACAAUUACAAAAACUUCUUUGCAAUUUAUGUUGGAGAUGCAUCAGAAGUAAAGCAUUUUCCAUUUACUGAUCAUCUGCUGCAUGGCAUAUAUGAUUCUCUACUCCGAAAUCUUUUGAUCUUGUAGUAAGGGAGUCGAGUGAACUUGAGAAGUCCAUGAAUCCACGGUUGGACAAUGUGGAGAGUCAGAGUGGCCCUAAUGAGUAUGAAUUUUAGCAGGCAGUUUGGUGUUGGUGUCAAGGAUUUUGAGAUUUAACAUUUUGCAUAUGUUAUGGAGGUGGUGCCUUUCAAGUUUCAUCUGGAUGUGCAAGAUCAACAGAUGUGAUCCUUACCAAGCAAGGAAAGCAUCAUAAAGGGACUGCAGAAAAAGGGAAGUCUCAGUGAGUGACCAUACUGGGUGAAAAUGAUGAUGACUAAAAUAAGUUGAUCAUUUCAUAUGGGCAUGGCUGUGGGGUUUGUGGCAGGAUUUUGGGAGCCUGUAGCAUUCUUUUCUUGAACAAGAUCCAGAGGCAUGUUGAGAAGACCUGCUGAAGUCCUUAACAUUGAUAAGCGGCAGGAAGAAUAAGAAGGCGAUUUCACAUCUUCCCUGAGAAGAUCAUGCACAAAACAAACUGAAAAUGUGAAAGUGACAUAUAGUCUCAUCUCUGGAUUUGUGAUCCAAGAGGGACCAAUUUUUCAGCCCUUGAUGUGAUCAGAUUGUGAUCAAAAUGUGGGCCCCUGUUAAUUUGCUGCAUUAGCAGUGUACAAUCACUCGAUUGAUUAAUCUUUUAAGAAUUUUUUGAAUGUAUUCACCAA